rnacentral:rRNA from 1 species
AACGAACGCUGGCGGCAUGCCUAACACAUGCAAGUCGAACGAGACCUUCGGGUCUAGUGGCGCACGGGUGCGUAACGCGUGGGAACCUGCCCUUAGGUUCGGAAUAACUCCCCGAAAGGGGUGCUAAUACCGGAUAAUGUCUUCGGACCAAAGAUUUAUCGCCUUUGGAUGGGCCCGGGUUGGAUUAGCUAGUUGGUAGGGUAAAAGCCUACCAAGGCGACGAUCCAUAGCUGGUCUGAGAGGAUGAUCAGCCACACUGGGACUGAGACACGGCCCAGACUCCUACGGGAGGCAGCAGUGGGGAAUAUUGGACAAUGGGCGAAAGCCUGAUCCAGCAAUGCCGCGUGAGUGAUGAAGGCCUUAGGGUUGUAAAGCUCUUUUACCCGGGAUGAUAAUGACAGUACCGGGAGAAUAAGCUCCGGCUAACUCCGUG